ACGUGGCGGCGUGGAUAGGCAUGCAAGUCGAACGAAUCCCCUCUGGGUAACUGGAGGGGGGAAGUGGCGAAAGGGGCAGUAAGGCAUGGGUAACUUGCCCCGGAGUUCGGGAUAGCCUUCCUAACGGAUGGGUAAUACCGAAUGCCGUACCGGAGGGGCAUCCUUCUGGUACGAAAGUUCCGACGCUCCGGGAGAGGUCCAUGUGGUAUUAGCUAGUUGGUGGGGUAACGGCCCACCAAGGCCAAGAUGCCUAGCAGGUGUGAGAGCACGACCUGCGUCACUGGCACUGGGACACUGGCCAGACUCCUACGGGAGGCUGCAGUCGAGGAUCUUCGGCAAUGGGCGAAAGCCUGACCGAGCGACGCCGCGUGUGCGAUGAAGGCCUUCGGGUUGUAAAGCACUGUCGAGGGGGAGAAAAGCCGCAAGGCUUGAUCGACCCCUGGAGGAAGCUCGGGCUAA
rnacentral:rRNA from 1 species